rnacentral:rRNA from 1 species
ACGUACACUCCUACGGGAGGCAGCAGUGGGGAAUAUUGGACAAUGGGCGCAAGCCUGAUCCAGCCAUGCCGCGUGAGUGAUGAAGGCCCUAGGGUUGUAAAGCUCUUUCACCGGUGAAGAUAAUGACGGUAACCGGAGAAGAAGCCCCGGCUAACUUCGUGCCAGCAGCCGCGGUAAUACGAAGGGGGCUAGCGUUGUUCGGAUUUACUGGGCGUAAAGCGCACGUAGGCGGACUAUUAAGUCAGGGGUGAAAUCCCGGGGCUCAACCCCGGAACUGCCUUUGAUACUGGUAGUCUUGAGUUCGAGAGAGGUGAGUGGAAUUCCGAUUGUAGAGGUGAAAUGCGUAGAUAUUCGGAGGAACACCAGUGGCGAAGGCGGCUCACUGGCUCGAUACUGACGCUGAGGUGCGAAAGCGUGGGGAGCAAACAGGAUUAGAAACCCCUGUAGUCCCAUGAU